CCCGGCAAGAGGCGGCGGCGGGAGCGGCGGUGAUGGACGGGUCCGGGGAGCAGCCCAGAGGCGGGGGGCCCACCAGCUCUGAGCAGAUCAUGAAGACAGGGGCCCUUUUGCUUCAGGGGUGAGUUUGAGGUCUGAUUAUUGUGGCACAGAUUUGAGGAGUGACACCCCGUUCUGAUUCUGCACCCUCACUCCAUCCCCACUCUAGUUUCAUCCAGGAUCGAGCAGGGCGAAUGAGGGGGGAGGCACCCGAGCUGGCCCUGGACCCGGUGCCUCAGGAUGCGUCCACCAAGAAGCUGAGCGAGUGUCUCAAGCGCAUCGGGGACGAACUGGACAGUAACAUGGAGCUGCAGAGGAUGAUUGCCGCCGUGGACACAGACUCCCCCCGAGAGGUCUUUUUCCGAGUGGCAGCUGACAUGUUUUCUGACGGCAACUUCAACUGGGGCCGGGUUGUCGCCCUUUUCUACUUUGCCAGCAAACUGGUGCUCAAGGCCCUGUGCACCAAGGUGCCGGAACUGAUCAGAACCAUCAUGGGCUGGACAUUGGACUUCCUCCGGGAGCGGCUGUUGGGCUGGAUCCAAGACCAGGGUGGUUGGGACGGCCUCCUCUCCUACUUUGGGACGCCCACGUGGCAGACCGUGACCAUCUUUGUGGCGGGAGUGCUCACCGCCUCACUCACCAUCUGGAAGAAGAUGGGCUGAGGCCCCCAGCUGCCUUGGACUGUGUUUUUCCUCCAUAAAUUAUGGCAUUUUUCUGGGAGGGGUGGGGAUUGGGGGAC
rnacentral:sRNA from 1 species